AUCCAGUUGAUGAGUGUCGAAUGAGACGAAACGCGUGUCCUGGAU
rnacentral:hammerhead_ribozyme from 1 species